rnacentral:misc_RNA from 1 species
GGGAAGAAGGAGAAGAGAGAAUCAGGUUGGCCAUCAAUCAAACUCAAAUUGAACCUUGAGGUCAAUCGCCUCAAAGAUAACGAUCUCAUUACUGUUGAGAAUUUCUUUACUCCAGCUGAAUCAAAGGCUUUUGUCAAAGCUGCAGAGUCAAUUGGGUUUGUUCACCAAGGAAGUCGUGGUCCUGCAUAUGGCGAAGCAUAUAGAGACAAUGAUCGUGUAUCUAUGCAUGAUCCUGAUCUUGCAGAUGCAAUGUGGAGAGCUGGACUGAACAGAUUGUUUUCUGACAUCAAAAUUCGAGGCAAAGUUGCAGUUGGAUUGAACCCUAAUAUUA